rnacentral:rRNA from 1 species
AACGAACGCUGGCGGCAGGCUUAACACAUGCAAGUCGAGCGCCCCGCAAGGGGAGCGGCAGACGGGUGAGUAACGCGUGGGAACGUACCUUUUGGUUCGGAACAACUCCGGGAAACUGGAGCUAAUACCGGAUAAGCCCUAACGGGGAAAGAUUUAUCGCCGAAAGAUCGGCCCGCGUCUGAUUAGCUAGUUGGUGAGGAAACGGCUCACCAAGGCGACGAUCAGUAGCUGGUCUGAGAGGAUGAUCAGCCACACUGGGACUGAGACACGGCCCAGACUCCUACGGGAGGCAGCAGUGGGGAAUAUUGGACAAUGGGCGCAAGCCUGAUCCAGCCAUGCCGCGUGAGUGAUGAAGGCCUUAGGGUUGUAAAGCUCUUUUGUCCGGGAAGAUAAUGACUGUACCGGAAGAAUAAGCCCCGGCUAACUUCGUG